rnacentral:rRNA from 1 species
UAUGAGUGGCGAACGGGUGAGUAACACGUGAGUAACCUGCCCUCUUCUUUGGGAUAACGCCCGGAAACGGGUGCUAAUACUGGAUAUUCACUGGCCUUCGCAUGGGGGUUGGUGGAAAGGUUUGUUCUGGUGGGGGAUGGGCUCGCGGCCUAUCAGCUUGUUGGUGGGUGAUGGCCUACCAAGGCUUUGACGGGUAGCCGGCCUGAGAGGGUGACCGGUCACAUUGGGACUGAGAUACGGCCCAG